UUAUAAAAAAAUGAAAAAUUAUAAAAGAAUCGAAUUUGAAAACAUAUAAUCAAAAACUAUAUAAAAAAAUAUUUUUUAUAUUUUUUUAAUUUUUUUAUAAAUAUCUAGGGUAUUAGAGUCUUUUAACCUAUUAAAUAAAAAAAUUUGGUCAUUUUUCUUAUUGUGGUCUAUUUUUGUGACCAAAACUUGAAAAUGUUCAAUUUAAGAAAAUUACCCAUAAAAAAUAUCCAUUAUUUUGUUUAUGGUGGUUAUCGAUGUAAGCAACAGAAGCGGCCGCUGAGCCCAAAUAGUUUCCAAGUCUAAAGCUAAGGCGUAGCGUGAGUGCCUUCCGUUGAGUUUUUUUUGUUCAUUUGCAUUUGCAUACAUUGGCUACAUGUUUUCAGAAGGACAAAAAAUAUUUUAGGAGCUUUUAAUGUAUUUACUUACAAUUCCAAAAUGUAAUAUUUUUUAAACAUAAUGUAUGUUUCAAAGAAUGUAAAUACGUCAAAUCAAUGUUAAAAUAAGUUUUACUAAAAGAACUGAUGAUUUUUUUUUGAUCAAACCUUACUUUUAUAAAAUUCUCACUUUCCAUGAAUGGAGAAAGUGUAAAUACAUGAAAAGAAAGCCAUUCAUAUCAAACAAACAACUAUUACAAGGAAACAAAUACAACAUUGGAAGAUAGAGGCAUACAAAACACAUAAACAACUAAUGAUGUCGAGAAGUCCUCUAAUCUCAGUGACCAUCGAACUGUAAAGUGAGAUGAAGCCUUGGAAAUUAAAGACCACAAUCAGUGAUAUAAAUCCCAAGAUUGAAGCAACAAAAAGUGCACAAUCAACAAUCUUCAACAUGGUUACAAAUCCUUUGAUUAGAACUUUAGUGUUAGAUGUAUCUCUAAUCUUUAAGAAUACAUUCCCUACCCCAAAGCUACAUAAAGUAGAUGAUGAAACUGGGAGAAGAGAAAAUUCCAUAAAGCAGAAAACCGAAAAGUAAACGACUCGAUUCACAUGAGUGGAUAUGUGAGGCAUCAAUUCAUUAAGCUGCCACUGAGCACAUAAGGACUUGAAUACCUCAAAGAUAGAACUGCAUACUGCAGUAAAGGGGCACACCAAGGCGAGAAAAAAAGAUAGAUCAAAGGAGAGUUUAAGAUACCAAACCAAUGAUAUCAACUCAUCACCCAAUAUUAAGUUAUAAAAUCUAUGAGAUGACCACCUAGAUUAAUGGAAGAGCAAGAGAGCAGGAGAUGGGGAUAGAACAACCCAAUGUUGAAUCGACAAACACAAUGACAAGCAUAAUGAACGGGAGAAGAGUAUAUAUGAAAUUGUUGGGAGAGAAGCUGUGAGAAAUCCAAUCAACACACCAGUGUAAAAGACCACACCGCAUACUGCAGGAGACAAGCACUUUGAGACAACUUCUGUCAUCAACAUACACAAAAGAAAUAACACCAUCACUGAACACAUGCACCAGAUUCAACAAAGGAGAUUUCAAAUCAGGAGUUUUUGAAAACAGUUAAGGAGAGGCUGUGUCGAACAGCAGAAGAAGCAUGAGAAUGAACGGUAUGUCAGGAGGAUCCAGUGGUUUUGGCGAUGAGUGAGCUUCAAGCGGCAGAAGGGAAAACAUACAUGGUGGUGGAUCAGGAGUUAGAAUUGCAGAGGGCGAAGUCGCGACGGAAGGGGGAGUCGCGACUAGGGCUGGGCAAAAUAUCCAGAACCGAAGAACCGACUCAAAACCGACCCAAAAAUCAGGGUCCCAAACCCGAUCGGGCCCGGGGUAAAUAACCAAAUGGAUCCUAAAUUAAUGUAUUCAAAGAACCGGUAUCCAACCUGAUCCGAACCAAGAACUGAAUGAGUAUCCGAAAAUAUCCAAAACGUAAAUAUAUAUUCAAAAAUCAUUUAAAUUAAAAUUAUAAAUUAAAUAUAUUAGUUAUUUCAAUAUUUUUGUGUAUUUUUGGAUAAAAUAUGAUAUUUUGGAUAGAAAUACUCAAACAAAACUGUAUCUAAUGAGUAUUUUUGGUUAUUUUUGGUACUAACCGUAUUUGGGUAGCUUGGAUACAAAAUCCCUGAAUCGAAUCAGGAAAUAUGAUUACUUUGGGUAUUAUUAUCCAAACUCGCUUCAGAUACAUUAGUUAUUCGGUUAUUUUCAUGUUUCUUUAUAUCAGAACCAAAUUCAUCCGGACCCGGGAGGAUCCGAUUCGAACCCAGUCCGAAAUUUUGUAAUACUCGAAUGGGGCCUAAUUUCCAAACCCGGAAAACAUGAUAUCCAAAAAAACUGACUUGUACCCGAACGGGUAUCCGACCUAGUCGCGACGGAAGAGAUGGAGGGUGGAGUUGCGACGGAGGAGACGAUUAGAUUACAAAUAUAGAGUGAGGUAUUACCCGAAUCACAACUUUUAAAACUUAGAUUUGUUUUUUCAUAGUUGUGCACAAAUUUUUUAUUAAAUUCAUUUUAAAUAGUAUUAUCGUAAAAAUAUAUUAAAUGAUACAACAUCUAAUGAAAUUAAAAAAAAAUGUAAUAAACCAAAUAAGACCAAUAUUUAAAGUAUUUUGAACUAGAACAACUACAAACUACUAGAAUAUUACGUGUUCUUAUAAAAACUCAGUCUCAAAUUUUAAGUCAGUCUCUUAUGGUGGGUGAUCUUAUAAAUCCCAUUGAUUGUUCCUGGAAUGAGGAUCUCCUGAAUGAAUAUUUUCAUCCAGAUGAUGUGAAGAUUAUUCGUGGUAUAGCAGUUAGUAGAACACAAAGGCCAGAUACAUAUGGCUGGACGUUUACGGACUCUGGUAAAUACUCGGUAAAAUCAGGGUUUAGGACAGAAUCCUUAUACCCGGAUCGGGGUCCAAGAGUGUUAAGUUAUGGACCUAAUGUUAAACCCCUUUUGGCGCAUUCUUGGAAACUAAAAUGUUCUCCGAAACUAAGACACUUUGUUUGGCAAGUUUUAUCUGGGACACUACCAGUAUCCAAAAAUCUGAAGGCUCGUGGUAUAGAGUGUGAUCUCCGGUGUGGUAUUUGUGGGGCAGAAGAGGAAUCCAUCUAUCACGUUAUUUUUGAAUGUCCACCAGCACUUCAAACAUGGGCUUUAUCUCGAAUCCCUUCCCCUCCCGGAAUCUUCCCAUCUUCCUCACUUUUUACCAGUCUGGAUCAUCUUUUUUGGAGACUUCCAACAGAUGUUGAUUUGGAGUAUUUUCCAUGGAUUAUGUGGUAUAUAUGGAAAAAUAGGAAUGAAAAAAUUCAUAAUAAUAGGACUGUAAGUCCUCAAGAAAUUUUGCGCAGAGCGGAUGUUGAAGGAUCACUUUGGGCUGAAGCCCAACUUUUGGUACAAGAGAAUCAGGGGUUUCCACCGACAGAUGGGAGUUGGCAGACAUUGGGGUCCUCUCGAGUUUGCUACAUUGAUGGGGCGUGGAGAGAACAUGAUGCUUUUACAGGCCAGGGCUGGUAUUGCCAGAAGAUAGAUUCAGAGGACGUAAUGAUGGGCGCAAUGAACCUUCGACGUAGCCUAUCACCUUUACAUGCUGAAUGUGAAGCUCUGAUUUGGGCGAUGGAGUGCAUGAAGACCCUGCAGUUCUCAGAUGUAGUAUUUGUGACGGAUUGUUCUCAAUUGGUGAAGAUGGUGUCCUCACCUGAAGAAUGGCCGGCGUUCGCUACACACAUGGAAGAAUUCUGCCGAAGUAAGACUUUCUUCCCUAACUUCAUGAUCAGACAUAUCUCAAGGGCACAAAACACAAUGCCGGACAAGCUUGCACGUGGUGCGAGAAGUUCUCCUUCAGCUAUGCUAUAUGUCGAUUCUUUACCUCCGGUUUGGCUAUCUGAACCGGUGGCCCCAUAGGCUUCUAGUCUAUUAUGAUGUCAAAAAAAAAAAAAAAAAGGAAUAUUACGUGUUCUUAAACUCACCCAACCACCAAAGUACACUUUAUGGUCUUGAGUAGGGCAUUGAAUGAGCAUUGACCGCCAGGACCGGUGCUGUCUGUUGUACGAGAGUAGCUGUUUACCUUUUCCUUUCUUAGAUAUCUUAUAUAAUAAAGUAGGCUUGAGUCCCUCCUUAGAGUGCCACCUCAUUUGGAAGGAUGGGGCAAAAUGUGCCACGUGUACCUGCAGCUUGCUCAAACACACGAUGUAAGCUACGUUUGCGUAUUGGGCUGCUCAAACAUUGGGCUUCAUGAUCUAAGUUGGUCCAAGUACGGUCUCAUAUACAGUUUCAUCCUAUGCGUCGAGACAACGUCGCCCUCUUAUCGAUCGGACUUCCGCUGCAAAAACGGUGAAUAACCCAUUCGUUCAAUUAGCGUAAUUAGCGCUUCCAUUUACUCCAUUAAACCAGAACCUCCACUAAAUUGCAUUCAGUACCACCCUCGCCCUCCUCAAAGAUUUUAAAGCUCCUUGGCAAAGUAACGUUUCUGAAGUCUCAAGCUUUUCACCACCUCUGUAUUUCUCGGCAUAACCGGAACCGUCAUCUCUCACCUCCCGCCGAAAGCUUACGCGGCGCUGCGAAGCACGUUUAAGACGAAGAUGUCGCUGCAUAAGAAUACUUCGGCCGUAUCGAUCUUGGACAUGUGUUUUGAUCUCACCAGGUUUAAGACGGUGACGAUCCCGACGGUGUCGUUCUACUUCAGAGGUUUGUUUUAUUCAACUCCAUGUUCUUAUGUGCGUUUGCUUCACAUCUGUCUUUGUUAUGGCUUCUAGAUUCUACCAAACGCAGCACAGAUCUAUGCUUCAUGGAGAAACUUUUCCUGCAAUCACUGUACAAGGUUGUGGUCUGUGUAUCAGAAACAAAUCCUCUAAUCAUAUAUCUCAUGGACGUUGAGAAGCUUCUUGAGUCAGAAAGAUUCUACAAGUUAUUCCAGAUUCUCUUGAACAAAGAUCUCUGGUCCUGUCUUGACUCUUGUCUCAAGAGUAUUAGUACCUGAAGAUGAUAUCCAAGAAGUAGCUGAAGGGGUCUCUGCUCUCUUUCCUUACAACAUCGAAAUCAGACCACCUGAGGAUGAAUCUCAGCUCUUGAGCUGGAUGAAUCGCUUAGAAGAUGACAUGAAGAUGGUUCAGUUUCAAGACAACAAGAACCAAAGUAUCCCUCAUGAACCUCAAUGGCUCAGUAUCAUUGCAUCUUUGCAGGGAUGUAUGCGUGUGUGCAUGUUUAGCACCUUAGCUCUUGCAUGCCAUAACAAAUGCAAAAGCUACAGGUCUGAGACAAAAAUUGUGGUGGCCGUCAGCAUAAAUCCGACAAUAUUGAUCGCAUGAAGGAACAUGUUGAGGAGAAAGAAAGCAUCCCUCCUGUUCAACAAAGGCUCAUCUACGCCAGAAAACAGCUAGCUGAUGGCAAAAGACUACAACUUUCGAAAAAGCUACGUCAAACUCUUAUAAGGUUUUCAUUUAUUCAUAUCAGUCUAUGGUUUUAUCAGCAAGAAGACAGUAAAUAUAGCUAAUUACAGAUGCACAUGAAUAUAAUUUUCUCUUUUCAUGCGGGACAAAUAGGACGUUAGUUAAUUUCUAUUUUCAUUGGUUAAAACGGUUUAAUCUUUUUACUUACUGAUCAUUGCUCCUUCCUUGAUUAAAGCUAGAAAACUGACCUUUUACAGA